rnacentral:rRNA from 1 species
GGGCGGCGACCGGCAAACGGGUGCGGAACACGUACGCAACCUUCCUUUAAGUGGGGGAUAGCCCAGGGAAACUUGGAUUAAUACCCCGUAAUAUUACGGAGUGGCAUCACUUUUUAAUUAUAGCAGCAAUGCGCUUGAAGAUGGGCGUGCGCCUGAUUAGGUAGUUGGCGGGGUAACGGCCCACCAAGCCUUCGAUCAGUAACUGGUGCGAGAGCACGACCAGUCACACGGGCACUGAGACACGGGCCCGACUCCUACGGGAGGCAGCAGUAAGGAAUAUUGGUCAAUGGACGAAAGUCUGAACCAGCCAUGCCGCGUGGAGGAUGAAGGCCCUCUGGAUUGUAAACUUCUUUUAUUUGGGAAGAGACCCACGAUUUCUAUUGUGGUUGACGGUACCAGAUGAAUAAGCACCGGCUAACUCCGUGCCAGCAGCCGCGGUAAUACGGAGGGUGCAAGCGUUAUCCGGAUUCACUGGGUUUAAAGGGUGCGUAGGCGGGCAGGUAAGUCAGUGGUGAAAUCCCCGAGCU